rnacentral:misc_RNA from 1 species
AGUGCCGCAUACUAUAAUGCAGCAAUGCGAUUUGAUCCAUGUCGGCGACUAUCACAGGCGACGACUGGGCCUAAAUGUAGCCAGAUAAUGGUCUGUGAGGACUAGCCCGAGUGCUAAGCAUUCUUGGUUCUAGGCCCCGCCUGCCACAAUCUAUCUAUCUAAUUGGCCUCAAAUCAGGCAAGACUACCCGCUGAACUUAA